rnacentral:rRNA from 1 species
GAUGAACGCUGGCGGCGUGCCUAAUACAUGCAAGUCGAGCGAACAGACGAGAGUGCUUGCCCUCUCUGACGUUAGCGGCGGACGGGUGAGUAACACGUGUGUAACCUACCUAUAAGACUGGGAUAACUUCGGGAAACCGGAGCUAAUACCGGAUAAUAUUUAGCUUCGCAUGAAGCAAUAGUGAAAGACGGUUCUGCUGUCACUUAUAGAUGGACCCGCGGUGUAUUAGCUAGUUGGUGAGGUAACGGCUCACCAAGGCAACGAUACAUAGCCGACCUGAGAGGGUGAUCGGCCACACUGGAACUGAGACACGGCCCAGACUCCUACGGGAGGCAGCAGUAGGGAAUCUUCCGCAAUGGGCGAAAGUCUGACGGAGCAAUGCCGCGUGAGUGAAGAAGGUUUUCGGAUCGUAAAACUCUGUUAUAAGGGAAGAACAAGUACGUUAGUAACUGAACGUACCUUGACGGUACCUUACCAGAAAGCCACGGCUAACUACGUG